rnacentral:rRNA from 1 species
ACGAAGCCAUGCAUGCCCGCUCACCCGGGACGCGGCGGACGGCUCAGGACAACGGUUGCACCCCCCGCGGCGGUCCCUGCUAGCCGGACACCGCUGGCAACCCGGCGCCAAGACGUGCGCGCAAGGGCGGGCGCCCGCGGGCGAGCAGCGUGACGCAGCGACGGCCCGCCCGGGCUUCCGGGGCAUCACCCGGUCGGCGCGGUCGCGGCGCGCCGAGGGCCCGACGCCU